rnacentral:rRNA from 1 species
GUGUCAGCCGCCGCGGUAAUACGGAGGGUGCAAGCGUUAUCCGGAUUCACUGGGUUUAAAGGGUGCGUAGGAGGGCAGGGAAGUCAGUGGUGAAAUCUCCGGGCUUAACUCGGAAACUGCCGUUGAUACUCUCUGUCUUGAAUCCCGUGGAGGUGAGCGGAAUAUGUCAUGUAGCGGUGAAAUGCUUAGAUAUGACAUAGAACACCAAUUGCGAAGGCAGCUCGCUACACGAAGAUUGACUCUGAGGCACGAAAGCGUGGGGAUCAAACAGGAUUAGAUACCCUGGUAGUCCACGCCCUAAACGAUGGAUACUCGACAUACGCGAUACACUGUGUGUGUCUGAGCGAAAGCAUUAAGUAUCCCACCUGGGAAGUACGACCGCAAGGUUGAA